AACAGGACGUCAUAGAGGGUGAGAAUCCCGUACGUGACCGGCNGUCAACYCCAUGUGAGGCUCCUUCGACGAGUCGAGUUGUUUGGGAAUGCAGCUCUAAAUGGGUGGUAAAUUUCAUCUAAAGCUAAAUACCGGCCAGAGACCGAUAGCGCACAAGUAGAGUGAUCGAAAGAUGAAAAGCACUUUGAAAAGAGAGUUAAAAAGUACGUGAAAUUGUUGAAAGGGAAGCGCUUGCAACCAGACUUGCCCGCAGGCGAUCUUCCGUUUUUCGGAGCCACCGCACGUGGAGCAGGCCAGUAUCGGUUUUGGCAGUCGGACAAAGUUCCUGGGAACGUAGCUCCUCUCGGGGAGUGUUAUAGCCCGGGGUGCAAUGCGAUUAGUUGGGACCGAGGACCGCGCUUCGGCUAGGAUACUGGCGUAAUGGUUGUAAGCGACCCGUCUUGAAACACGGACCAAGGAGUCUAACAUCUAUGCGAGUGUUUGGGUGUCAAACCCAUACGCGUAAUGAAAGUAAACGGAGGUGGGAACCUUAGGGGGCACCAUCGACCGAUCCUGAUGUCUUCGGAUGGAUUUGAGUACGAGCAUAGCUGUUGGGACCCGAAAGAUGGUGAACUAUGCCUGAAUAGGGUGAAGCCAGAGGAAACUCUGGUGGAGGCUCGCAGCGGUUCUGACGUGCAAAUCGAUCGUCAAAUUUGGGUAUAGGGGCGAAAGACUAAUCGAACCAUCUAGU
rnacentral:rRNA from 1 species